UACAGAGGGGGCAAGCGUUGUUCGGAAUUACUGGGCGUAAAGGGCGCGUAGGCGGCCUGUUAAGUCGAACGUGAAAUCCCCGGGCUCAACCCGGGAACUGCGUCCGAUACUGGCAGGCUUGAAUUCGGGAGAGGGAUGUGGAAUUCCAGGUGUAGCGGUGAAAUGCGUAGAUAUCUGGAGGAACACCGGUGGCGAAGGCGGCAUCCUGGACCGAUAUUGACGCUGAUGCGCGAAAGCCAGGGGAG
rnacentral:rRNA from 1 species